rnacentral:rRNA from 1 species
GCCCUACACGACCGUACCGCAAACCGACACUGGUGCGCGAGAUGAGUAUUCUAAGGCGCUUGAGAGAACUCAGGAGAAGGAACUCGGCAAAUUGACACCGUAACUUCGGAAGAAGGUGUGCCUUUAGUAGGUGAACCUGUACAAGGGGAGCCCAAUGAGGUUGCAAAAAAUCGGUGGCUGCGACUGUUUAAUAAAAACACAGCACUCUGCAAACACGAAAGUGGACGUAUAGGGUGUGACGCCUGCCCGGUGCUGGAAGAUUAAAUGAUGGGGUGCAAGCUCUUGAUUGAAGUCCCAGUAAACGGCGGCCGUAACAAUAACGGUCCUAAGGUAGCGAAAUUCCUUGUCGGGUAAGUUCCGACCUGCACGAAUGGCGUAACGAUGGCCACACUGUCUCCUCCUGAGACUCAGCGAAGUUGAAAUGUUUGUGAUGAUGCAAUCUCCCCGCGGAAAGACGGAAAGACCCCAUGAACCUUUACUGUAGCUUUGUAUUGGACUUUGAACAGAUCUGUGUAGGAUAGGUGGGAGGCUUUGAAGUGUGGUCGCUAGAUCGCAUGGAGCCAACGUUGAAAUACCACCCUGGUGUGUUUGAGGUUCUAACCUAGGCCCGUAAUCCGGGUCGGGGACAGUGCAUGGUAGGCAGUUUGACUGGGGCGGUCUCCUCCCAAAGCGUAACGGAGGAGUUCGAAGGUACGCUAGGUACGGUCGGACAUCGUGCUAAUAGUGCAAUGGCAUAAGCGUGCUUAACUGCGAGACUGACAAGUCGAGCAGAUGCGAAAGCAGGACAUAGUGAUCCGGUGGUUCUGUAUGGAAGGGCCAUCGCUCAACGGAUAAAAGGUACUCUGGGGAUAACAGGCUGAUACCGCCCAAGAGUUCAUAUCGACGGCGGUGUUUGGCACCUCGAUGUCGGCUCAUCUCAUCCUGGGGCUGUAACCGGUCCCAAGGGUAUGGCUGUUCGCCAUUUAAAGAGGUACGUGAGCUGGGUUUAAAACGUCGUGAGACAGUUUGGUCCCUAUCUUCCGUGGGCGCUGCAGAUUUGAGGAAGCCUGCUCCUAGUACGAGAGGACCGGAGUGGACACACCUCUGGUGUAUCGGUUGUCACGCCAGUGGCAUUGCCGAGUAGCUAUGUGUGGAAGAGAUAACCGCUGAAAGCAUCUAAGCGGGAAACUCGUUUCAAGAUGAGAUCUGCCGGGACCUUGAGCCCCCUAAAGAGUCGUUCAAGACCAGGACGUUGAUAGGUCGGGUGUGGAAGCGCAGUAAUGCGUUAAGCUAACCGAUACUAAUUGCUCGUGCGGCUUGACCAA